rnacentral:rRNA from 3 species
UUGAGAGGGGCUGCUCCUAGUACGAGAGGACCGGAGUGGACGAACCUCUGGUGUUCCGGUUGUCACGCCAGUGGCAUUGCCGGGUAGCUAUGUUCGGAAAAGAUAACCGCUGAAAGCAUCUAAGCGGGAAACUUGCCUCAAGAUGAGAUCUCACUGGGAACUUGAUUCCCCUGAAGGGCCGUCGAAGACUACGACGUUGAUAGGCUGGGUGUGUAAGCGUUGUGAGGCGUUGAGCUAACCAGUACUAAUUGCCCGUGAGGCUUGACCAUAUAACACCCAAACA